rnacentral:rRNA from 1 species
AGAGCGAACGCUGGCGGCAGGCCUAAAACACGCAAGUCGAACGAGGCCCUGCCUUCGGGCAGGUGACCUAGUGGCGAACGGGUGAGUAACACGUGGGCAACCUACCCUCAGCUCUGGGAUAACCCCGGGAAACCGGAGCUAAUACCGGAUAUGACCAAGAACGACAUCGUUCUUGGUGGAAAGUUUUUCGGCUGAGGAUGGGCCGCGGCCUAUCAGCUUGUUGGUGAGGUAACGGCCCACAAGGCGACGACGGGUA